ensembl:lncRNA
CGGGACUGCUGGGAGGAGAACCAAAAUGGCCCCCAGCAAACUCCACUGAGACCUGUGCCGGGGCGGGGUCAGUGGCGCUCUCCUCACGGUCCCCGAGAUUUCGUGUGUACCCCUGGUCUCAGCAACCACGCAGGUCCCCAGAGCUGGCCGCCCUGCCGUGGACUUGGUCCUGCCUGUGAUGUCCCCAGCGCCCCGCCAGCAGGACUCACAGCUGCACCCCAGCGAGCGGGUCUAGGGCAGUCGGAAGGCCUCUCUGGCUCAGCGUCCCACCUGCAAAGGGACAGACUGGAUGCCCCUGAGAGCCAUCGGUGCCGGUCGUGCAGGGGCUCCCGGCCUGGAUUCUGGGGGGCUGUGUCUCCGUGGAGACAGGAGGCCCUGCGGCAGCCGCAGCCCGCCACCCACGCACAGGCAGGCGUGGGGCGGGGCGCUGCGGUCCCGUUGCCAAGCGCAGAGAACUCUCCACCGGGUCCAGGGUUCCGUCACCAUGGCAACUGCUGGGGCUGGAAGCAGAACUCCUCAGAAUUCUGAAGAACAUAUGGGGGAGGGGAGAACAAGAGGGGGAGCCCCAAGCAGGCCCCCCGGGGGGGGGGCUGCCGCACCCAGUGGCUCCCCCUCCUCUGCCCCCUUCAUUCCCGUCUUCUCCUGAGCGUUCUCUCCUUGCUUUUUCUCCUCUCUCUAGGUCCUCCACAACCUUCCCUGAACCUUGGCUCCUACGAGCAGAAGGCGAUGUUUGCUGGCCACCUAGUACGCACCCGGCACCGUCCCAGGUGCUUUAUGCAUCUGAGCUCAUUUAACCCUCUCGCUGCUGUGUGUGCUUUGAUUGGACGGACUCCAUCUCUACACAUCCCACUGGCUGUUGGCCGGGCCACUGAUUGGCUGCUCUGAGUCCAGUGCUUUCCCCUGAUCCAAUCAGCUGUAACCAGGGAGGCGGGGUUCCAUGAUUGCUGCUGACAUAAUGGAUGUAUUUCUUCACUGGUGAAGCCAUUUGGAACUGGGGAGUCUCUUACCUGAGCAGGCAUCUCACUAACUUGCAUUUGGGUCUCAUGCCUUUGGUGAGUGAAUGAGUAAGACCUGGACAAGGGCAGUCGUGACCUUACAGAACUGAGGUGACGGGAUCCAGAAUGCUGCGUCAGGAAACCCGGAAGCCCCGCUUCUGUUAGCAAGCCUCCUUCCAGCGUCAGCCAAAACUGACCAAGGAGGCUUGCGUUUCCAUCUGCAGGCGCCAAGGUGCCUGUACUCUGAAAGACCAGUGGAAUGAGCUCAUCCACUCUGGUUACGCUGGGAUCUCUGAAUGCCCAGCCUGGGCCAGUUCUCCCAGUUGAGGAACCAGCUUUCUCUCCCCCAAGGGGGCAGGGGAGUGUGUCUGCAGCCAGAGGCCCUCCCGGCGCCCACCGGGCUCACCGCAAGUCUCCCAUCAAGCCGGUCCUACAAACGUUCCCCCGUCUGCCCAGCUCCUGACACCGAUGAUGGGAGGGACUGUGAUGCCUGUCCCGUGUACUGUUGAUGCCUCUCUCUGUGGGCAGGGUGUGCCAGCUCCACACUGAGUACUGGGAAGGAAGGGGGCACAGGGGCGCCGUGGGAGGCAGAGCACCUUUUACUCCAGAAGAGACUGUUCUGAUUUCCAUUCUGAAGCAUCAGUGGUCCCUUAAACAGAACAAAAACCCCAGAUGGUGAAACCAAGGCCCAGAGCAGUGAGCAGUCCAAGGUGACAGAGUGGACUGGCGGCGGAGCCGGGAGUGGGUGCUCUUUGCCUGACACCCUGGUGAUUCAGACUGCGUGUGAGCAGCUAACUGCUGUAACAGACGGGCCCAGAAUGUGGUGCACCGCCGCAGCAGAAGCCACCUCUGUCCACGCUCAUCCUGGUUCUUGAAGAGCUCCUUGUCCGCAUGAGGCCUCGGCAGCCUUCUCUGAAAUCGAGGCUGCUGACUAGUUGGCCUUUCUGAUCCCUUCCCGUUUGGACCAAGUCUUGUCUCAGAAAACAGCAUGUGACGCUCCCAAGGCCAUGAUGGGGCCCAGGGCCGGAUCUGGUCAGCCUGGCUCUGGAGGCCUUUCGCUGGUCCUGCUCCGCUUCCGCUGCGGGAACCCCAGAGGAACGGCCCGAAGGCGGUGGGGCCCCUGUCCCCGCCGCCCCUCUCCCGCCGGCCUCAGCGGCAGGAAGCCCCCGGCCCUCGCGCCCCGGCUCCGCUCCCUCGGCCUCUGUCGCAGCCUCAGCCCCGCACCUGCAGGCCUUCCCGCCCCCUCCGAGCCCGCAGGAGCUGGGGGCCUGGCUCCUCUCCCGCACGGGUGAGGGGGCGUUAGCACUGCCCGAGGGGGCAGGAGGGCCCCGCUCACGGCACAGGGGCCCGCGGUCCCCAGGCGCUUUCGGACGAGGCCGCCUGCCUCCUGGGCCCCGAGGCAGGAGGCCCAGCGGGCAUGAAGAAGGCAGCAAACAGAGGCAGCGCAAUAAACGAGGAAAAGAAAGCGUUUUAGAAAGACGUUGGUACGGAGUGUUGUAAAAAGCCCUUUCAAAAUAAUGAACAUGAAAAAAAAUCAGAACUCAUUUGGAC